GACGAACGCUGGCGGCGUGCUUAACACAUGCAAGUCGAACGGUGAAGGGACUGGUUUUUCUGGUCCUGGAUGGGUGGCGAACGGGUGAGUAACACGUGAGUAACCUCCCCCCUUCUGCUGGAUAACCGCAUGAAAGUGUGACUAAUACAGGGUAUUCUGGGUCUGUCGGAUGGUGGGCCUGCGAAAGAUUGCGCCUUUUUUGAUGUGUGUGUUGGGGGUUGGGCUGGCGGCCGAUCAGCUUGUUGGGGGGGUGAUGGCCUACCAAGGGGGUGACGGGUAGCCGGCCUGAGAGGGUGGACGGUCACACUGGGACUGAGACACGGCCCAGACUCCUACGGGAGGCAGCAGUGGAGAAUAUUGCACAAUGGGCGCAAGUCUGAUGAAGCGACGCCGCGUGAGGGAUGGAGUCCUUCGGGUUGUGAACCUCUUUCGGGAGUGAAGCAGGCCUGCCUUUUUUCGUGGGUGGGUUGACGGUAGCUGGAUAAGAAGCGCCGGCUAACUACGUG
rnacentral:rRNA from 1 species